rnacentral:rRNA from 1 species
AAGGAUCAUUACCGAGAGAGGGGCUUCGGGCUCCGGGGGGUUUCGGCCCCCGACUCUUCACCCGUUGCAUAUCGUACCUUUGUUGCUUUGGCGGACCCCGGGUCGCCCCGCGCUGGUUUUCGGGCCGGCGAGUGUCCGUCAGAGGCCCAUUACAUUCUGUUUAUUAGAGUGACGUCCGAGUAUAAACCACAAUAAUAAAAACUUUCAACAACGGAUCUCUUGGUUCCAGCAUCGAUGAAGAACGCAGCGAAAUGCGAUAACUAAUGUGAAUUGCAGAAUUCAGUGAAUCAUCGAGUCUUUGAACGCACAUUGCGCCCCUCGGUAUUCCGGGGGGCAUGCCUGUUCGAGCGUCAUUACACCCCUCAAGCUCAGCUUGGUAUUGGGUCCUCGCCUCCCGGGGCGUGCCCGAAAAUUAGUGGCGGUCCGGAGCGACUUUAAGCGUAGUAAAAUUUAUCCCGCUUUGAAAGUUCGCUCCGCGGCUGGCCAAGUAACCCCGAUUACUUCAAUAAUUGACCUCGGAUCAGGUAGGGAUACCCGCUGAACUUAA